CUUGACAUCCAGAGAACUUGGCAGAGGUGCCUUGGUGCCUUCGGGAACUCUGAGACAGGUGCUGCAUGGCUGUCGUCAGCUCGUGUUGUGAAAUGUUGGGUUAAGUCCCGNAACGAGCGCAACCCCUAUCCUUUGUUGCCAGCGAUUCGGUCGGGAACUCAAAGGAGACUGCCGGUGAUAAACCGGAGGAAGGUGGGGAUGACGUCAAGUCAUCAUGGCCCUUACGAGUAGGGCUACACACGUGCUACAAUGGCGCAUACAAAGAGAAGCGACCUCGCGAGAGCAAGCGGACCUCAUAAAGUGCGUCGUAGUCCGGAUCGGAGUCUGCAACUCGACUCCGUGAAGUCGGAAUCGCUAGUAAUCGUAGAUCAGAAUGCUACGGUGAAUACGUUCCCGGGCCUUGUACACACCGCCCGUCACACCAUGGGAGUGGGUUGCAAAAGAAGUAGAUAGCUUAACCUUCGGGAGGGCGUUUACCACUUUGUGAUUCAUGACUGGGGUGAAGUCGUAACAAGGUAGGCGUAGCGAG
rnacentral:rRNA from 1 species